rnacentral:rRNA from 1 species
GACUAACGCUGGCGGCGUGCCUAACACAUGCAAGUCGAACGGGCUUAUCAUUGGUAGCAAUAUCGAAGAUAAGCUAGUGGCGAACGGGUGAGUAACACGUAGGUAAUCUACCCUCGAGACGGGAACAACCCAGGGAAACUUGGGCUAAUGCCCGAUAAGACCACGAGACGGGAGUUUUGGGGUCAAAGGCUGGGCGAAAGUUUGGCGCUUGAGGAUGAGCCUGCGGCCUAUCAGCUAGUUGGUAGGGUAAGAGCCUACCAAGGCGAAGACGGGUAGCCGGCCUGAGAGGGCGAUCGGCCACACUGGGACUGAGACACGGCCCAGACUCCUACGGGAGGCAGCAGUGAGGAAUUUUCCGCAAUGGGCGCAAGCCUGACGGAGCGACGCCGCGUGAGGGAAGAAGGCUUUCGGGUUGUAAACCUCUUUUGUGGGGGAAAAAGGUCCGGGUAUGUAUAGUAUCCGGGUUUGAUGGUACUCCAUGAAUAAGCCCCGGCUAACUACGUGCCAGCAGCCGCGGUAAUACGUAGGGGGCGAGCGUUGCCCGGAGUUACUGGGCGUAAAGGGCGUGUAGGCGGUUGGAUAGGUCUGGUGUGAAAUGCCGGAGCUUAACUCCGGCACUGCGCUGGAAACUAUCUGACUGGAGUUCGGUAGGGGUUACUGGAAUCCCCGGUGUAACGGUGAAAUGUGUAGAUAUCGGGGGGAACACCUGUGGCGAAGGCGGGUAACUGGGCCGCAACUGACGCUGAGACGCGAAAGCGUGGGUAGCAAACAGGAUUAGAUACCCUGGUAGUCCACGCUGUAAACGAUGAGUGCUAGGUGUAGGGGGUAUCGACUCCUUCUGUGCCG